CCAAGCCACAACCUCAUAUCCACGGCGGUGGUUUAAAGUGAACAGCAAAUAAGUAUCGCAGAAACCGCCGAAACAACUCUGCGGAAGUGUUACAUUAAUGUUCAAGGACCCCCGCGGACGGGCGCGUGCGGGAUGGACUCUGUCACUGAGCGCUUGUCUUACAUUUCUACACAAUACAGAAGCGCAAACUGGGCGAGGAAUAUGAAGAUGAACUGUGGUUAACAAAACAACCCCAAGUCGUCUGUCGUUUAAAGAACCAAGUCGGACAAAUACCUUUGGAUCUGUUAAUUUAUAGCACCCAGUACCUCCGAGUGACCUGUUACAGCGAUGUGAGGGACCCGCCGGCCGAGGAGCUGCUGCAGAAGAGCGUUUCUUUCAUUAAACAGCUGGAGCGCAACAACUGGAAGCUGAACUUCACCGAGUCGGGUCUUCUGCAGACGGUGGACACCUCACCCCCCCCGCAGAGGAACGAUGUCCCCGGGCGGCGGAGUAAAGGCUUUUAAAGGGGGGCCCAGAAAAGUGGACAG
rnacentral:lncRNA from 1 species